GCGCCGGUGUUGUAAGGCGAACAUCGCUGCCCGGAAAGCAGAAGAUGCGGGUUCGAGUCCGCCUGGCCCA
rnacentral:tRNA from 1 species